rnacentral:snRNA from 1 species
GGAUAUGAGACCCAUCUGACUGUAACAUCUGUCAUCCCAUUUAUCCCCAGGGUUGAUUCAGCUGAUCUAGCUGGCUAGGCAGGUGUCCUGUUACUCUCUCCCUGGUCCAUUCUUGUCCCUUCUUCUUCCAUCCAAGCUUCAUGCUUGGAUAAUUGAAGAUAACGACUUUCCCUGAUAGAGGACAAGUCUCUGCACAGGGUGUAGAGCAGCUGUGCUUCUCUGAUAGAACCUUCGAAUAAUUUCUCAAGAGAUAUCUAUUUCUAGAAGUGUGGGGUAGGAUUUACAGGGAUAUUUAAAAAUUCUAACAGAAAAAAAACCAAACUAUUGAAUUUUUCUUA